rnacentral:rRNA from 1 species
UCUGGUGAUAAUGGCAGAGAGGUCACACCCGUUUCCAUGCCGAACACGGAAGUUAAGCUCUCUAGCGCCGAUGGUAGUUGAGGGAUUCCCUCUGCGAGAGUAGGACAUUGCCAGUC